UACAGAGGGUGCGAGCGUUACUCGGAAUUACUGGGCGUAAAGCGCGCGUAGGCGGCUUUGCAAGUCGGGUGUGAAAUCCCCAGGCUUAACCUGGGAACUGCAUUCGAGACUGCAUUGCUAGAGUAUGGGAGAGGGAAGUGGAAUUUCCGGUGUAGCGGUGAAAUGCGUAGAUAUCGGGAGGAACACCUGUGGCGAAGGCGGCCCCCUGGUUGGAUACUGACGCUGAUACGCGAAAGCGUGGGGAGCAAACAGG
rnacentral:rRNA from 1 species